GCCUGUAGCUCAGAUGGUUAGAGCAACCGACUCAUAAUCGGUGGGUCGAGGGUUCGAUCCCCUCCGG
rnacentral:tRNA from 1 species